GCCUAUAUGGUUUAGUUGUUUGAGUGAUGGACUAUGACUCUGGAGAUCAGGGUUUGAUUCCCUGCUUGGCCA